rnacentral:rRNA from 1 species
AGUGGUAGACGGGCGAGUAACGCGUGAGCAACCUACCUUGUACCGGGGGAUAACGUCGGGAAACCGGCGCUGAUACCGCAUAACAUUGCCGCAUGCAAAACUCUGGUAUGAGAUGGGCUCGCGUCCAAUUAGCUAGUAGGUGAGGUAACGGCCCACCUAGGCGACGAUUGGUAGCCGAACUGAGAGGUUGAUCGGCCGCAUUGGGACUGAGACACGGCCCAGACUCCUACGGGAGGCAGCAGUGGGGAAUAUUGCGCAAUGGAGGAAACUCUGACGCAGCAACGCCGCGUGAAGGAAGAAGGCUUUCGGGUUGUAAACUUCUUUGAUUGGGGACGAAAGACGGUACCCAAGGAACAAGCCACGGCUAACUACGUGCCAGCAGCCGCGGUAAUACGUAGGUGGCAAGCGUUGUCCGGAAUUACUGGGUGUAAAGGGCGUGUAGGCGGGAAAGAAAGUCAGAAGUGAAAUCCCAUGGCUUAACUGUGGAGCUGCUUCUGAAAC